GACGUAGGGCGCGAGCGUUGUCCGGAUUUAUUGGGCGUAAAGAGCUCGUAGGCGGCUUGUCGCGUCGACCGUGAAAACUCGCAGCUCAACUGCGAGCCUGCGGUCGAUACGGGCAGGCUAGAGUUCGGUAGGGGAGACUGGAAUUCCUGGUGUAGCGGUGAAAUGCGCAGAUAUCAGGAGGAACACCGAUGGCGAAGGCAGGUCUCUGGGCCGAUACUGACGUGAGGAGCGAAAGCGUGGGGAGCGAACGG
rnacentral:rRNA from 1 species